GGGCCCGUAGCUCAGCCUGGUAGAGCACCUGCCUUGCAAGUAGGGGGCCUCGGGUUCGAAAGUGAAUCCCCAAUAUUAAGAGGAUCCUCGGAAGUCCCGACGGGUCCA
rnacentral:tRNA from 1 species